GAUUGCGUAGCGAAGUUGGUUAUCGCGUCGGCCUGUCAAGCCGAAGAUCGCGGGUUCGAGCCCCGUCGCGAUCGCAA
rnacentral:tRNA from 5 species